rnacentral:lncRNA from 1 species
AAAGUCACUCUGAUACGUGGCACCGGCGUUCUGCUUCUCUAGAGGACAGUCUUCUCUCCAUGGUAGCUUGUGCACCACGACAUCGAUAUCCAACCCUGGCAUAUCCUGACACGACCAGGCGAAGGUAUCCACAUGCUCUUUCAACAGGGCUACCAUUCUGCUCUCGACUCGCCUCUGAAGCGGCCCCAAUUUUCACUUCCUUUCCGACCUCGGUGGUGCCUG